UGAGUGGUGUUUGGUUUGUUACGUGUGGUUGGCUGCGGCGUUUGCAACAACUUCCAUGCUUUCAGACCUCUUCAGUUGUGCGGCAAGGCUUGUAUCGCCUUGAGCGUAUUGUGGGUUUUCUGUGUUGGCUACCUAAUCAACGGUAUCGGUUGGAUUGAUCAAAGUUUGAUUUCGUCUUCCGUCGCAUUUGCGGCGUGAGGUGAACCUCGAUGCGGUCUCUUUGAUCCACCUCGUCGAAGCACAUGCUUUGACGUUGUGGCCCAUUGAGCAUUGCUUGGUCUCUUGUAUACGGAACAUAUAGUGGGCAUGGAUCUAACGAUUCUCGUUUGCCCUCAUAUUAGCGUAACGCUUCUCUUACACGACUUGCUCCACGUUUUAGCUCGUACGGACGUGGUGCUAUGUCGAAGAGGAAUGCUACCUGGUUGAUC
rnacentral:misc_RNA from 1 species